rnacentral:rRNA from 1 species
GAUGAACGCUGGCGGCGUGCCUAAUACAUGCAAGUCGAGCGAACAGACGAGGAGCUUGCUCCUCGGACGUUAGCGGCGGACGGGUGAGUAACGCGUGGAUAACCUACCUAUAAGACGGGGAUCACCUCGGGAAACCGGAUCUAAUACCGGAUAAUAUAUUGAACCGCAUGGGUCAAUAGUAAAAGACGGUUUUUCGGGCACUUAUAGAUGGAUAGCGGCCGCAUUAGCUAGUUGGUAAGUUAACAGCCUAUCAAGGCGACGAGGCGUAGACGAACGGAGUGACUGAUAGGCCACACGGGAAGUGAGACGCGGUCCAGACUCCUACGGGAGGCAGCAGUAGGCAAUCUUCGGCAAUGGUCGAAAGCAUGACGGAGCAACGCCGCGUGAGUGAUGAAGGUGUUGGGUGCGUAAAGCUCUGUUAUGAGGGAAGAACAACUGUGUACGGAGAUGUACAGGUAUUGACGGUAAUUAAUAAGAAAGCAACGGCUAACUACGUG